CUGCGCAUCUGUUGUGUGUGUGCGUCUGUCUGUCUGUUCAGGUCUGUUUCAGACUACGUCUGCCUGUCUGUCCAGGUCUGUUUUAGGCUGUGUCUGCCUGUCUCUCUGUCUGGGUCUCUUUCAGGCUGCGUCGGUCUGUCUGUCUGGGUCUGUUUCAGGCUGUGUCUGUCUGUCUGUUUGUCUGGGUCUGUUUCAGGCUGUGUCUGUCUGUCCGGGUCUGUUUCAGGCUGUAUGUGUGUCUGCUCUUUGCUUCUGCUCCUGGCUCUGUGUGUAUUUCCCGGGUCCUGUGG
rnacentral:lncRNA from 1 species